GAUAAAAGAGGUGGUAGGCUCUGUGUUACACUUUUAAGACCCUGGGAGAAAAAGUGUAAGACAGAGCCUACCACCCCUUUGAUC